GACGAACGCUGGCGGCGUGCCUAAUACAUGCAAGUAGGACGCAGUUGCGAACGGGUGAGUAACGCGCAGGUGACUACCUAUUUGCGGGGGAUAACUAUUGGAAACGAUAGCUAAUACCGCAUACUAGUAGAUGGAUCUGCGUUUUAUUAGGUAGUAGGUAGGGUAAAGGCCGACCUAGGCAACGAUACAUAGCCGACCUGAGAGGGUGAGCGGCCACACUGGGACUGAGACACUGGCCAGACUCCUACGGGAGGCAGCAGUAGGGAAUCUUCGGCAAUGGGGGGAACCCUGACCGAGCAACGCCGCGUGAGUUAAGAAGGUUUUCGGAUCGUAAAGCUCUGUUGUUAAGGAAGCGGUACUUAACCAGAAAGGGACGGCUAACUACGUGCCAGCAGCCGCGGUAAUAC
rnacentral:rRNA from 1 species